GGAUUGUAGCUCAGUGGUAGAGUGCUCGCCUAGCACAUGUGAGGCACUGGGUUUGAUCCUCAGCACCA
rnacentral:tRNA from 1 species